CCAAGCUUCGGCAGUGCAUAUACUAAAAUUGAAACGAUACAGAGAAGAUUAGGACAGCCCUGCGCAAGGAUGAUACACGAAUUGGUGAAGCGUUCCAUGUUUUU